rnacentral:lncRNA from 10 species
AUGCCCUGCCCACCCCGGUGCCAGAUCGGGGGCACGAGAUCCCCUCCCUCCCCUCUAGCAGCCGGGCACUGACCUUGCAGGCAACAAGGGGUUAACAGUCAGAGCUGCAGGAGGACCCACCUUCUCCCAGCACAGCCUCGCCACCCCCAGCCUCACCCACCAAGCUGGGGGGAGGCAGAGAGUGGCCUCCAAGGCGGGCAGGCCCCAUUCCCCGCUUGGCAAUCGCUCAUAAAUCAUAAUUGACAAGCAUAAUUUUUCCCUUGAGCGGCAAGGGUGCUUUAUUUAGUUGUUUCUAUUUUAUCUGGUUGCAGGAGAUGAUGGACCCCCCUCCAACCCACUUCUGCUGUUUCCCAUAAUAAUAAAACGCUCUGCUAGGCCAGGAUGGGAUCCGAUUCUGUGAACUCUACCCGCUCUGGUAAAAGGUCAUCUUGGGACUCAGCCGCUUGUGCGGCGUGAUGGAGAAGCUACCAACAGGGCCGCCGACAAUGACCAAGAAGGUGGACCUCGGGGCACGCGGAAGACGCCUCUCCUCCCUCGGUGCCACUGCAAGUCCCCUCUCUCCUGAUGAGAUUGUCCGUUGUGCCCAUGUCCUUCCAGGAGGACAUCCCUGCUCCUGCUGCUCCCAGCAGCUUAAGGUCUGGUUGGAGGAGACAGACCUAGGACGAGUAAACCACCAAGCUGGACAGUGAUAACUCCCAGAAAAAGCGGACCCGGCCUCAUGGAGCAUCGUGACAGGGCAGGCAAGUGGGUGACUUGCACAGGCACUGUGCAGGGAUUCAUGGCUGGCUGGCCAGCGACUCCACAGCCUGCUGAACUCCGGAGGGACCCCGGGUCUGUGGGGACACCACGCUCUACCCUGCCCUUGCUGGCCCCUCGCUUGGACCCCCAGGCCUGGGUCAGGGUCUGUUUUCCUCACUAAACUGGGGACAUGAACCAGCAGCCCCCAGACAUCAUUAGUGUGGCAAGCCCAGUCCCUAAAAAUGACAGAGAGGGAGGGAGGGAGGGAGGUGGAUCUGAUGGCCUUGGGCAGGUUGGGGACCACACCACUGGCGACAGGCCCCUUCUCCCUCCCUAGAGUCUUGGCUUUCCUGGCCCUGCCCUGAAGGCAGCACAAUCCAGGAAGGCUGCCUGGAGGAGGGUGGUUCUGUUGGGCCUCCAUAGAGGGUAGGAUUUGGAUGGGGGCUGUAAGCAAGAGGCAACCCCAGUGCAGGGAUGGUGUGAUGGGGGGACAGUCCCCUGUGCUUCCCGCCUGUGGGCAGGUGAGGCUGGGCAGGCUCCCCUGCGAGGCCCUGGGGGGAGAGUGGGGAGCAGACGUGUGCCCUGGAGGGUGUACAGGCCUGGUCUCCCACCUGGAGGGUGGCGGGGAGGGUAACCCAGGGCUGGGUCUGGGCAGGGAUGGUCUGAAGGGAUCCCGGAGAGGAUAGGCCCAUGGUGGCAGCAAGGGGGUGGCUAGGUGGGGAUAGCAGAGGGAUGGAGCCCUGUCACAUUGGCUCCUGCUGCCCGGAAAAACUCAGGGCCCCAGCCCCUUUAGAAACCGUCCCAGCCUCACCCCCCACCCUCUUGACCACAAUUGGCUCCCUGUUCCUCGCCUGCCCUGACCUGCUCCAGCCAGAGGCCCCCCUCGCAGCUCCCCGAAGGCACUGGGCUUGUUCCAGGUGCUGUGCCUGCCAGGAGCACUCCAGGCUCCUGUGAGCCUGGUACAGACACCACAUCUAGGAGCCUUCCCACUCCCGACCAGGGCAGACCCCCCGCUUUCUACUAAGAGCACCCCGGGGCAUCCCUUAGAUACCUCACCACUCUGGGGAGCAACAGGCUUUUAUGGGUGAUUAUGUUUUUAACGUCGCCUGCCCUCCAUGCCCUGCUCUGACAGCAGGGACCGCAGUCACAGCCAGACCCCAGCCCAAGUCUGGUGUGCAGGAGGCACUCGGUCAAUGGUGGCGGUGAGUGCCUGAGCACCCCCCUUCAGGAGGGGCCGCUGUCCGCAGGUCUGUGCCUCCUCCAGAUGGGAGCACCCUGCAAGCUGGCCAGGGCUGAUCCCCAUUCCCCCAGGACACAGCACCCAUCAGAAGGGGCCACUGUCAGCAGGUCUGUGCCUCCUCCAGAUGGGAGCACCCUGUGAGCUGGCCAGGGCUGACCCCCAUACCCCCUGGGACACGGUGCCCAUCAGGAGGACCCAUUGUCUGCAGGUCUGUGCCUCCUCCAGAUGGGAGCACCCUGAGAGCUGGCGAGGGCUGAUCCCCAGGCCCCCAGGACACAGCUCCUGAUGCGCCAGGCAAUGGACUGGUUGCUUUGGUUGAUGAGGGAGGGAAGGAAAGGAGGAGGAAGGGAGAGGUGAGGAAAGAGGGAGGGAAGGAAGGAAGGAAGGGAGGGAAGGAAGGAAGAUAGGUGAGCACACUCUCUCCCAGCUCCCUGUCUUCUUCCCUUUGCCCCGCAAGGCUGAGAUUUCUCUGUGGCUGUGCCAUCUUCAGGGAGGCAGUGCCCAGGGGAGUGUGGCAGGAAACGCCAGGCCCGGGGCUGCACCUCCUGAGCACUGUAGCUCCUAAACCCACCCGCUGAAGCUCCACAAAUAACCCCAAAGAGGAACGGAGAUCAAUGCACUGCCCUAUUGACAAAACCUCAGCCGUAAUGCAGAUAGCUCUCACGUUUUUAUUGUGUUCAUGUUGAUUCAUAGCGGUUUUGUCAAUAAAAAAACACCGCACAAAGUCUCAACAGUAAAAACGUCACCAAAAAUUAUUUAUUGCUAUGAUAACAGCAAAUUAUAUAUUGAAGGAGAUUUGUGGCGUAGGGUGGGACAGAGGCUGGUGGCAUCGUGGGUGGAGAGAGGGCCCCUCUAAACCUGCACUGUGGCCCCACCAUCGCCUGAGUACACCCUGUGCCCAGCCCCGAUGCAGGGCUGGCUUGGGCUCAGGGCACCGGCCCCCAGGUGACAGGGAAGUCAUGGGUAGAGUCCACACCCACAGACACGAGGGAGAAUGUGAUCAGCAAAGUAACACAGGGACCUGCAGGCAGGACGGAACAGCUUUUCACCAGGGAAGCCAGGAAGAAGUCGUCACACAGUAAUAACUGGGCCACCUUGGGAAGACCAGGUAGGUUUCAAAUAUUCACUUCCACGAGGAAGAAACGGCAGGAGCAAAAGCCGGAGGGUAAGGAAAUGCUUAGCAUGUUCGGAAGACACAGAAAUAACAUGCUUAGUGCCUGGGCGCGUGGUCCUGAGUGAGGGACGCUUGGGCAGCCCUGGAUCAACCCGCACCUGCAAGAGCCUUCGCUUCCUUGCAGAUGGCGACCGUCUCUGCAGAUCUCUUCCAUCAAUAAAAGUGUUUUUAUAAAAUUUCUUCCUUG